rnacentral:rRNA from 1 species
GUGAUAAACUGGAGGAAGGUGGGGAUGACGUCAAGUCAUCAUGGCCCUUACGACCAGGGCUACACACGUGCUACAAUGGCGCAUACAAAGAGAAGCGACCUCGCGAGAGCAAGCGGACCUCAUAAAGUGCGUCGUAGUCCGGAUUGGAGUCUGCAACUCGACUCCAUGAAGUCGGAAUCGCUAGUAAUCGUGGAUCAGAAUGCCACGGUGAAUACGUUCCCGGGCCUUGUACACACCGCCCGUCACACCAUGGGAGUGGGUUGCAAAAGAAGUAGGUAGCUUAACCUUCGGGAGGGCGCUUACCACUUUGUGAUUCAUGACUGGGGUGAAGUCGUAACAAGGUAACCGUAGGGGAACCUGCGGUUGGAUCACCUCCUU